rnacentral:rRNA from 1 species
GGCCGCGGGAAUUCGAUUUCUGGUUGAUCCUGCCAGACCCGACUGCUAUCAGAGUGGGACUAAGCCAUGCGAGUCGACGUAGCAAUACGUGGCGAACGGCUCAGUAACACGUAGUCAACAUGCCCAGGGGACGUGGAUAAUCUCGGGAAACUGAGAAUAAACCACGAUAGGUCACGAUUUCUGGUAUGGAUCUUGGCUUAAAUCUACAUGGCCCCUGGAUUGGACUGCGGCCGAUCAGGCUGUUGGUGAGGUAAUGGCCCACCAAACCUAUAACCGGUACGGGCUCUGAGAGGAGGAGCCCGGAGAUGGGCACUGAGACAAGGGCCCAGGCCCUAUGGGGCGCAGCAGGCGCGAAACCUCUGCAAUAGGCGAAAGCCUGACAGGGUUACUCUGAGUGACUUCCGCUAAGGGGAUCUUUUGGCACCUCUAAAAAUGGUGCAGAAUAAGGGGUGGGCAAGUCUGGUGUCAGCUGCCGCGGUAAUACCAGCACCCCGAGUGGUCGGGACGAUUAUUGGGCCUGAAGCAUCCGUAGCCGGUUCUGCAAGUCUUCCGUUAAAUCCAGCCGCUCAACGGAUGGGCCGCUGAGGAUACUAUAGGACUAGGAGGCGGGAGAGGCAAGCGGUACUCAGUGGGUAGGGGUAAAAUCCUUUGAUCCAUUGAAGACCACCAGUGGCGAAGGCGGCUUGCCAGAACGCGCUCGACGGUGAGGGAUGAAAGCUGGGGGAGCAAACCGGAUUAGAUACCCGGGUAGUCCCAGCUGUAAACGAUGCAGACUCGGUGAUGGGCUAGCCUUGUGCCAGCCCAGUGCCGCAGGGAAGCCGUUAAGUCUGCCGCCUGGGGAGUACGGUCGCAAGACUGAAACUUAAAGGAAGUGGCGGGGGAGCACCACAAGGGGUGAAGCCUGCGGUUCAAUUGGAUUCAACGCCGGGAAUCACUAGUGAAUUC